CCUACGGGAGGCAGCAGUGGGGGAUAUUGCACAAUGGGGGAAACCCUGAUGCAGCGACGCCGCGUGAGUGAAGAAGUAUUUCGGUAUGUAAAGCUCUAUCAGCAGGGAAGAAAAUGACAGUACCUGACCAAGAAGCCCCGGCUAACUACGUGCCAGCAGCCGCGGUAAUACGUAGGGGGCAAGCGUUAUCCGGAUUUACUGGGUGUAAAGGGAGCGUAGACGGUUAUGUAAGUCUGGAGUGAAAGCCCGGGGCCCAACCCCGGGACUGCUUUGGAAACUGUGUAACUGGGGUACAGGAGGGGCGGGCGGAAUUCCGGGUGUGGCGGUAAAGUGGGUGGAAAUCAGGAGGAAAACCGGGGGCGAGGGGGGCCUGCUGGACUGAAACUGACGUUGAGGCUCGAAGGCGUGGGGGGCAAACAGGAU
rnacentral:rRNA from 1 species